ACACCUCAACUCUCAUGGCUUGCCAUGAUGAGCUUGGACUUUGGGGGUCUUGCUGGCCUGUGGUCAGCUCCUCUCAAAUGAAUUAGCUUCCCAGUGUUUGGUUGGCAUCACAGGUGUGAUAACUAUCUACGCUUGUGGUUUCCACCAGGUAACCUUCAGUAACAUGGGGGUUCGCUGGAGCUCAUAAAUGUCUCUCUUCAGUGGGGACAGCUUUUUGAAC
rnacentral:misc_RNA from 1 species